rnacentral:tRNA from 1 species
GGGCCUAUAGCUCAGUUGGUUAGAGCGCGCGGCUGAUAACCGCGAGGUCAGUGGUUCGAACCCACUUAGGCCCACCA